GUGUUGUAUGAAAGGAAAGAAGGUUAGCACUCUCCUUGACAAGUACGGAAGAGGCUUCAGCCUGCAGCACACAUAUGGUUAAGGCAUUGCCACCUACUUCAGGAGCCACAGAACAGGAGUAUAGACAUAGCUCCUGUUCUACUUCUUUCU
rnacentral:ncRNA from 1 species